UGGCUCAGAUGGUAAAGUGUCUGCCUGCAGUGCAGGAGACCCAGGUUUGAUCCCUGG
rnacentral:tRNA from 1 species